CACCUGGGAUGUGAUCAGCUGGAGGGAACUGCAUUGUGCUCUACAUAUAUAUAUGUGCUCUAUACAGGUGGGAUAAACCUGGCUGUAGAGGUGCCCAUCACUCCUGCACUUUCCCCUCAGGUGCUUAGGGGAUACUGAUCUUCUCCUCUCCGUAACAGCCGCUCUCAGGAAUAGUCAUUGGACUUACUGUAAAACAGGUUAAAAGCAAGGUGGGACUGCUGAAAUUAUCCCCAGGUAGUGGGUAGAGUAAGCCUGCUUGACGUGAACCAAGAAAGUCCACAGUGCAACAAGUGGCAUGCCUGAAACCUUGAGAUGCCUCAAGCAGACAUUGUUUUCCAAACAUACUGAGUUCUCAGCAUCAGGUCUGUUGGGUGGCUGGAGUGCAGUAGGUGUGCUGCUGGAGUGUGGAGCUUCUUCCCAUUUAGUUUUGUCACCCAGUCUGUGAGCCUCAAGGCUGUUUGAAGUGCAACCAAAGCAUGAGCCCAGGAGAGAAAUCUCAGCAUCAUGCCAAUGCAAGAGUUUUGUUAUCCCUUCUCUUGGGAAAAAGGGAAUUUGUUGGAAGGCAUACAGCUAUUCUCCCCCAUGGUUUGAAGGCUUGACUUGACCUGGUCUGCUGCACUUUUUCCUGUCCUUUACUGGGGUAAUGCUGAAUGAGACCUUGCAGCAGUAGAUCUCAUUGAGAUGAAUGUGUUCAUAUUACUGAACUUCAGAAGACCAGAAUACAUCAGAUAAAUGCCAUGCUGUCAAUCUAUCUUUGAAAAAAAUGUAGUCUUGAAUAAUUUGAAAAAUAAAAAAAAGAAUCUAGGAAUACAAUAUUAUCAGAUAAUCUCAUGAUCUGGGGUGGUAUAGAACAACAUUAAGGUGUAUGCACAUUAGCCUCUCCUUCCUGAGACUGCUCCAAAAAGUCACAUUCACAGGCAACACCACAGUUCUAUGUAAAGUUCUGAAAAAGAAGCUCUGCUAUGUAAGGGAAGAAGAUGGUGGCAGAACAAAACAAUGAAACAACAUGAUGAGAUAAUUGUUAAUUUUCUAAACUUAGUUGUUUUGUUUCUACUGAUUAUUGACCAUGUCAGAUUACUGAUGCCAUUUCCACAUACCCCAGCUCUAAUUCUCAUUGCAGCUUUUGCUCUCUUCCAAAGGAAGAAAUACUGUAAGGGUGAUAAGUGACUUUUUUGACAAAUGUAAGGUUCUCAAUAGAAAGGGAAGCGUUCUCUAUCAUUUAGAGUGAAAUUUUAGUGUAGCAAAUGUCUGAAAAGUCAUCAUGUAUUCAUGGUGACUACUGUAUUGUAAAGUAUGGCAUUUGCCCCACUAAGGGCUGAGUUUCUUGGUCAUGUGGCUAGGUUUACAGUAUGGAUGUUCACAUUACUGAUAAUGUCCUUCAGACGCAUUAGAGAUUUGGUAUAGCUGGUCUAGACUUGCAGUAAGUAAUAGGUGCCAUAAAGUGGCUUCAUUGUGGGAGAAAAGCAGUGGCCAAACUGCUGAAAUGAAGCAGCAAUGAAAUUGUGGAAAAAAAUGAAAUGUAGAAAGGUGCUUUUGCUGGUGUUUCUGUUGAGAGGGUGGACAUCAGAUAAAAAUGAUAUGCUAUAUGUAUAGUGCUAGAAAAAAUCAACAGCACUGGCUGUGGAAAAAAUGUGUUGUCAUCAAAAGAGAAAUUUAUCAAGUCAGUGAUAUUAGCAGCAUUACUCCAUGGACUUGAAACUACAGCUUUAAAUGAAAUAGAUAUGCAGUAAAGCUACGAGUUCUUCAAGAAGUGUCCGAUGUAAAGAAAAAACUUCUUAAGACAAAUAUGUCAGAGGGAGAACAAAGUAUGAAAUCAGAAUAUGUAACAACUACAGUGGUGGAAACUCGAGAGAUGAUAAAUUGUGAAAAGAUGGGUAGAAACCUAUUAAAGCAAGCAGUUGAGUGUGGUCCAAUUUGAAGAUGCCCAUUGUCUACAGGGAUACAAGCGGACUGAGCAAAAUGGAGGAGCAAUACCAGGAUCUGAGAGAAAAAAUGACUCUGAACUGUUCCUGGCACCUGCAAAUCUGCUUCAGAUAAAAAGAAAAACAGACCUGCUGGCACCCAGACUAGCAGGAGAGUAUUUUAUACCUUUAUUUUCUAGUUAGAACUCAUCCGUAAUUACAUUUCUCAUUUCUGUGGUAUUUUCAGCUGGUAAAGUAGCCAUUUGUCUGUGGCCCCCAUGACCCAGACACUGUAUCAGUCUCCAGCACUGGACUCCUCCAUCACCAGAGCCUGGAAGCAGAAACCUCUGAAAAAUUCAGCCACACAGCAAAAAAACAGGAACAAGAUAACAGGAAAUGGGCUGGGCUGGAGAUACCAUGGGUUAGUUUCCCAGAUUAUCACCACGCAUGGUGGCUGGAGGUAGCACAAGCAAAUGCCUCCCACGGGGAUCUGCCCCAUCACUCAGGCUCAUGGCUCCAGACUGAUGGCAGAAGGUAGCUAUGGACACCGUGUGGGAGAGGGUAAGUGUGUCUGGCCAAGGGUGGCAGUACACAGCUUGUCAGGUCUUCUUCUGUAACUGCUGCAUCACAUGCUUCCACUCCACAUUUCUGCUCAAGGGAAAAUCUGCCAUGGCAGUGGGCAGUGCUAAGUGUUAUUAGAGCAGUUAAUGCAUUGAAAAACUACUCCUGAGCUUCCCUUGUGGUAUCUUCCCUGUGUUAUAUAGCAUCUUGUUCAGUGUUUACUGACAGUUGCAGAUUUUAGAAAAGCAUGCAGUAAUUACAGUGUAUUAUCAUUAUCUUUAAUUCUGAUAUGUGGCUUAUCAUAAAACUCCUCUUAAACAAUUUCUUGUUUUUCCUGAAGUGUGGCUGCAAAUGACAUCAUUUGCGUGUGAAAUUCAGUUGGAUAUGGUAACACCUUGUAAAAUACUUUAACAAGACAGAAAUGCUUAAAUAAAGUUUGGGUUUGGUUUCAAAGAUCUUCUCUUUAGGAGCCUGCAGUAAAUUCAAACCCCAGGUUGACACCCAGUUCUCUAUAUAAAUUUAGUUUUCCAGUGUUAACAUUUCUUCAUGGUGCAAUUUAAUUGCUUUACAAGGAAAGACUACAAUAGUGCUAUAUCUAUGAUGGCUUUCCCUAGCUUUUGGAAAAUAUAUGGUUUUACAAUUAGGCAACAGGGAUGCUCUAGUGUGUCACAUAUUUGGGUUUGUUAAAUCCAUU